ACGUAGGAGGCGAGCGUUAUCCGGAUUUACUGGGCGUAUAGCGCGUGCAGGCGGUGCGAUAAGUCGUGCGUGAAAGCUCCCAGGCUUAACCGGGAGAGGACGUGCGAGACUGUCGGACUAGAGGCAGGUAGAGGCAAGUGGAAUUCCGGGUGUAGUGGUGAAAUGCGUAGAGAUCCGGAGGAACACCAGAGGCGAAGGCGGCACCCUGGACGACACCAGACGCUGAGACGCGACAGCACGGGGAGCGAACGG
rnacentral:rRNA from 1 species